rnacentral:rRNA from 1 species
AGAGUUUGAUCAUGGCUCAGAUUGAACGCUGGCGGCAGGCCUAACACAUGCAAGUCGAGCGGUAGCACAGAGAGCUUGCUCUCGGGUGACGAGCGGCGGACGGGUGAGUAAUGUCUGGGAAACUGCCUGAUGGAGGGGGAUAACUACUGGAAACGGUAGCUAAUACCGCAUAACGUCGCAAGACCAAAGUGGGGGACCUUCGGGCCUCAUGCCAUCAGAUGUGCCCAGAUGGGAUUAGCUAGUAGGUGGGGUAACGGCUCACCUAGGCGACGAUCCCUAGCUGGUCUGAGAGGAUGACCAGCCACACUGGAACUGAGACACGGUCCAGACUCCUACGGGAGGCAGCAGUGGGGAAUAUUGCACAAUGGGCGCAAGCCUGAUGCAGCCAUGCCGCGUGUGUGAAGAAGGCCUUCGGGUUGUAAAGCACUUUCAGCGGGGAGGAAGGCGUUAAGGUUAAUAACCUCAUCGAUUGACGUUACCCGCAGAAGAAGCACCGGCUAACUCCGUGCCAGCAGCCGCGGUAAUACGGAGGGUGCAAGCGUUAAUCGGAAUUACUGGGCGUAAAGCGCACGCAGGCGGUCUGUCAAGUCGGAUGUGAAAUCCCCGGGCUCAACCUGGGAACUGCAUUCGAAACUGGCAGGCUAGAGUCUUGUAGAGGGGGGUAGAAUUCCAGGUGUAGCGGUGAAAUGCGUAGAGAUCUGGAGGAAUACCGGUGGCGAAGGCGGCCCCCUGGACAAAGACUGACGCUCAGGUGCGAAAGCGUGGGGAGCAAACAGGAUUAGAUACCCUGGUAGUCCACGCCGUAAACGAUGUCGAUUUGGAGGUUGUGCCCUUGAGGCGUGGCUUCCGGAGCUAACGCGUUAAAUCGACCGCCUGGGGAGUACGGCCGCAAGGUUAAAACUCAAAUGAAUUGACGGGGGCCCGCACAAGCGGUGGAGCAUGUGGUUUAAUUCGAUGCAACGCGAAGAACCUUACCUGGUCUUGACAUCCACAGAACUUUCCAGAGAUGGAUUGGUGCCUUCGGGAACUGUGAGACAGGUGCUGCAUGGCUGUCGUCAGCUCGUGUUGUGAAAUGUUGGGUUAAGUCCCGCAACGAGCGCAACCCUUAUCCUUUGUUGCCAGCGGUUAGGCCGGGAACUCAAAGGAGACUGCCAGUGAUAAACUGGAGGAAGGUGGGGAUGACGUCAAGUCAUCAUGGCCCUUACGACCAGGGCUACACACGUGCUACAAUGGCAUAUACAAAGAGAAGCGACCUCGCGAGAGCAAGCGGACCUCAUAAAGUAUGUCGUAGUCCGGAUUGGAGUCUGCAACUCGACUCCAUGAAGUCGGAAUCGCUAGUAAUCGUAGAUCAGAAUGCUACGGUGAAUACGUUCCCGGGCCUUGUACACACCGCCCGUCACACCAUGGGAGUGGGUUGCAAAAGAAGUAGGUAGCUUAACCUUCGGGAGGGCGCUUACCACUUUGUGAUUCAUGACUGGGGUGAAGUCGUAACAAGGUAACCGUAGGGGAACCUGCGGUUGGAUCACCU